rnacentral:rRNA from 1 species
AKGGGGSAKCCUAUACAUGCAAGUCGAGCGGACAGAUGGGAGCUUGCUCCCUGAUGUUAGCGGCGGACGGGUGAGUAACACGUGGGUAACCUGCCUGUAAGACUGGGAUAACUCCGGGAAACCGGGGCUAAUACCGGAUGGUUGUUUGAACCGCAUGGUUCAAACAUAAAAGGUGGCUUCGGCUACCACUUACAGAUGGACCCGCGGCGCAUUAGCUAGUUGGUGAGGUAAYGGCUCACCAAGGCRACGAUGCGUAGCCGACCUGAGAGGGUGAUCGGCCACACUGGGACUGAGACACGGCCCAGACUCCUACGGGAGGCAGCAGUAGGGAAUCUUCCGCAAUGGACGAAAGUCUGACGGAGCAACGCCGCGUGAGUGAUGAAGGUUUUCGGAUCGUAAAGCUCUGUUGUUAGGGAAGAACAAGUACCGUUCGAAUAGGGCGGUACCUUGACGGUACCUAACCAGAAAGCCACGGCUAACUACGUGCCAGCAGCCGCGGUAAUACGUAGGUGGCAAGCGUUGUCCGGAAUUAUUGGGCGUAAAGGGCUCGCAGGCGGUUUCUUAAGUCUGAUGUGAAAGCCCCCGGCUCAACCGGGGAGGGUCAUUGGAAACUGGGGAACUUGAGUGCAGAAGAGGAGAGUGGAAUUCCACGUGUAGCGGUGAAAUGCGUAGAGAUGUGGAGGAACACCAGUGGCGAAGGCGACUCUCUGGUCUGUAACUGACGCUGAGGAGCGAAAGCGUGGGGAGCGAACAGGAUUAGAUACCCUGGUAGUCCACGCCGUAAACGAUGAGUGCUAAGUGUUAGGGGGUUUCCGCCCCUUAGUGCUGCAGCUAACGCAUUAAGCACUCCGCCUGGGGAGUACGGUCGCAAGACUGAAACUCAAGGAAUUGACGGGGGCCCGCACAAGCGGUGGAGCAUGUGGUUUAAUUCGAAGCAACGCGAAGACCUUACCAGGUCUUGACAUCCUCUGACAUUCCUAGAGAUAGGACGUCCCCUUCGGGGGCAGAGUGACAGGUGGUGCAUGGUUGUCGUCAGCUCGUGUCGUGAGAUGUUUGGGUUAAGUCCCGCACGAGCGCAUCAUUGAUCUUAGUGCAGCAUUUCAGUGGUCACUCUACGUACUGCGKUACACCGCAUGUUG